GAUGAACGCUGGCGGCGUGCCUAAUACAUGCAAGUCGAGCGAACGGACGAGAAGCUUGCUUCUCUGAUGUUAGCGGCGGACGGGUGAGUAACACGUGGAUAACCUACCUAUAAGACUGGGAUAACUUCGGGAAACCGGAGCUAAUACCGGAUAAUAUUUUGAACCGCAUGGUUCAAAAGUGAAAGACGGUCUUGCUGUCACUUAUAGAUGGAUCCGCGCUGCAUUAGCUAGUUGGUAAGGUAACGGCUUACCAAGGCAACGAUGCAUAGCCGACCUGAGAGGGUGAUCGGCCACACUGGAACUGGGCCACGGUCCAGACUCCUACGGGAGGCAGCAGUAGGGAAUGUUCCGCAAUGGGCGAAAGCCUGACGGAGCAACGCCGCGUGAGUGAUGAAGGUCUUCGGAUCGUAAAACUCUGUUAUUAGGGAAGAACAUAUGUGUAAGUAACUGUGCACAUCUUGACGGUACCUAAUCAGAAAGCCACGGCUAACUACGUG
rnacentral:rRNA from 1 species